UCGGGGCCCAGUGGCGCACGGGUGCGUAACGCGUAUGCAACCUACCUCGAACUGGGGGAUAGCCUCCCGAAAGGGAGAUUAAUACCGCAUAAUACCAUGUGAGGACAUCCGAGUAUGGUUAAAGAUUUAUCGGUUCGAGAUGGGCAUGCGUGCCAUUAGCUAGUUGGUGGUGUAACGGACCACCAAGGCGACGAUGGCUAGGGGUUCUGAGAGGACGGUCCCCCACACUGGCACUGAGAUACGGGCCAGACUCCUACGGGAGGCAGCAGUAGGGAAUAUUGGGCAAUGGGCGGAAGCCUGACCCAGCCAUGCCGCGUGCAGGAUGAAGGCCUUCUGGGUUGUAAACUGCUUUUACCAGGGAAGAAAACACCCAUGCGUGGGGAACUGACGGUACCUGGGGAAUAAGCACCGGCUAACUCCGUGCCAGCAGCCGCGGUAAUACGGAGGGUGCAAGCGUUGUCCGGAUUUAUUGGGUUUAAAGGGUGCGUAGGCGGCCUUUUAAGUCAGCGGUGAAAGCCCGGGGCUCAACCCCGGAACCGCCGUUGAUACUGGAAGGCUUGAGUACAGACGAGGUAGGCGGAAUUGAGGGUGUAGCGGUGAAAUGCUUAGAUACCCUCAAGAACACCGAUUGCGUAGGCAGCUUACUAGGCUGUGACUGACGCUGAGGCACGAAAGCGUGGGGAGCGAACAGGAUUAGAUACCCUGG
rnacentral:rRNA from 1 species